UACGAAGGGUGCAAGCGUUAAUCGGAGUUACUGGGCGUAAAGGGUGCGUAGGCGGUUCGUUAAGUCUGUCGUGAAAUCCCCGGGCUCAACCUGGGAAUGGCGAUGGAUACUGGCGAGCUAGAGUGUGUCAGAGGAUGGUGGAAUUCCCGGUGUAGCGGUGAAAUGCGUAGAGAUCGGGAGGAACAUCAGUGGCGAAGGCGGCCAUCUGGGACAACACUGACGCUGAAGCACGAAAGCGUGGGGAGCAAACAGG
rnacentral:rRNA from 1 species